rnacentral:tRNA from 1 species
GGCCCUGUAGCUUAACUGAAUAGAGCUUUGGAUUUCGGCUCCAACGGUUGGGGGUUUGAAUCCCUCCAGGGUCA